GAUGAAGAACGUAGCGAAAUGCGAUAAGUAAUGUGAAUUGCAGAAUUCAGUGAAUCAUCGAAUCUUUGAACGCACCUUGCGCCCUUUGGCCAUUCCGAAGGGCAUGCCUGUUUGAGUAUCAUGAACACCUCAACUCUUUAUGGUUUUCCAUGAUGAGCUUGGACUCUGGGGGUUUUGCUGGCUCACAGUCGGCUCCUCUAAAAUGAAUCAGCUUACCAGUGUUUGGUGGGCAUCAUGGGUGUGAUAACUAUCUACGCUUGUGGUUUUUCCACCAGGUAACCUUCAGCAGUGGAGGUUCGCUGGAGCUCAUAGAUGUCUCUCCUCAGUGAGGACAGCCCUUUGAAUGUUUGAUCUCAAAUCAGGUAGGACUACCCGCUGAACUUAAGCAUAUCAAUAAGCGGAGGA
rnacentral:misc_RNA from 1 species